rnacentral:rRNA from 1 species
AUUGAACGCUGGCGGCAUGCUUUACACAUGCAAGUCGAACGGUAGAGGGGCAACCCUUGAGAGUGGCGAACGGGUGAGUAAUGCAUCGGAACGUGCCCAGUAGUGGGGGAUAGCCCGGCGAAAGCCGGAUUAAUACCGCAUGAGACCUGAGGGUGAAAGCGGGGGACUCGAAAGGGCCUCGCGCUAUUGGAGCGGCCGAUGUCAGAUUAGCUAGUUGGUGGGGUAAAGGCCUACCAAGGCGACGAUCUGUAGCUGGUCUGAGAGGACGACCAGCCACACUGGGACUGAGACACGGCCCAGGCUCCUACGGGAGGCAGCAGUGGGGAAUUUUGGACAAUGGGCGCAAGCCUGAUCCAGCCAGGCCGCGUGCGGGAAGAAGGCCUUCGGGUUGUAAACCGCUUUUGUCAGGGAAGAAAUCUUCUGGGUUAAUACCCUGGGAGGAUGACGGUACCUGAAGAAUAAGCACCGGCUAACUACGUGCCAGCCGCCGCAGUAAGAC